rnacentral:rRNA from 1 species
AUACAUGCAAGUCGAGCGAGCGGACCAACAGAUUUACUUCGGUAAUGACGUUGGGAAAGCGAGCGGCGGAUGGGUGAGUAACACGUGGGGAACCUGCCCCUAAGUCUGGGAUACCAUUUGGAAACAGGUGCUAAUACCGGAUAAUAAAGCAGAUCGCAUGAUCAGCUUUUGAAAGGCGGCGUAAGCUGUCGCUAAGGGAUGGCCCCGCGGUGCAUUAGCUAGUUGGUAAGGUAACGGCUUACCAAGGCGACGAUGCAUAGCCGAGUUGAGAGACUGAUCGGCCACAUUGGGACUGAGACACGGCCCAACUCCUACGGGAGGCAGCAGUAGGGAAUCUUCCACAAUGGACGCAAGUCUGAUGGAGCAACGCCGCGUGAGUGAAGAAGGUUUUCGGAUCGUAAAGCUCUGUUGUUGGUGAAAAGGAUAGAGGUAGUAACUGGCCUUUAUUUGACGGUAAUCAACCAGAAAGUCACGGCUAACUACGUGCCAGCAGCCGCGGUAAUACGUAGGUGGCAAGCGUUGUCCGGAUUUAUUGGGCGU